UUGUUUUCAAGAAUUUUUUAAUAAAAAUGAAGUUUGUCUGUUAGUUUAUGUUUUGAUUGUUUCAAUUUCAAAAUUAUUCAGUGUUGUCCAUGUACUAGUUGUUAUAUAAAAAUUGUUGUCCUCUUUACGGUGUCUAGUAGCGACAUUUUAUCCUCCAACCAUUAUACAUAUUUAACUUACUAUUUUUUUUUUAGAUGGCAGUACAGCAGAUCAUUCAAUACACGCUGAGACAUGAAUUCACAUUUCUACCUCUAUGCUAAAUAUCAAUAUCCUACGUUGAAAAUGUACUUGACGAUACUGCUAAUAAUAAUGGUUUUGUGCAACGUGCGUGUAAUGGAUGGCAGUACAGCAGAUCACUCAAUACAUGCUGAGACAUGAAUUCACAUUUCUACCACUAUGCAAAAUAUCAACAUCCUACGUUGAAAAUGUACUAGACGAUACUGCUAAUAAUAAGGGUUUUGUGCAACGUGCGUGUAAUGGAUGGCAGUACUGCAGAUCACCGGAGGCAUGCUGAGACAUGAAUUAGCAUUUCUAUCACUAGGGAAAGUUACAACAUUUUCCGUUGAAAAUGGAAUAGAAGAUGGCAGUAUAUCAGAUCAAUCAAGGCACGCUGAGACACGAAUUCACAUUUCUACCACCAAGGAAAGAAUCAACAUGCUAUGUUGAAAAUGGACUAGAAGAUACUGAUAAUAAUAUUGGAUUUAUGCAAUGUGCGUGCAAUGGUUAUUGAAUAUAAUUGAUUCUAAAUUAAUAGCUGUGAAACAAUUGAGAUUUGUUAAAUAUCUGAAUAAAAUAAUAGUAAACACCUUUA